rnacentral:rRNA from 1 species
UCAUUCGCGUUUCGAUUGUUAACGUAGAGUGGUUGUGUGACGGACGGCUUCGGUUUGUACGCACCUGCCGUUUUGCGAUUGGCGUCGAACGCGUGCACUUUUCCCCUAGUAGGACGUCGCGAUCCGUUGGGCGUCGGUCUAAGGCCCGCGGUGGAGCCCUGCUGAUAGUUUACUAUCGGUAGGACCCGUGGUGUUUCCCGACCGGCUCGCUCGACGGUAUACAGAUGGCGCAGAGCCGCGACUCAGUUCGCGUUCGACCCGAGGCAAGCGCGUUCGUAGUUUCGGCGAUCGGACCUAGUGCCGGUCCUGGACUCGGAUGACUGUUGGCUUCGGAGUUCUCGAACAGACUCUGUGAAACGCCGAUCUGCGGCGCUAUAGCUUUGGGUACUUUCAGGACCCGUCUUGAAACACGGACCAAGGAGUCUAGCAUGUGCGCGAGUCAUUGGGACAUAACUAAACCUAAAGGCGCAAUAAAAGUAAAGGUCAGCCUUGCGUUGACCGAGGGAGGAUAGGCGGUUUGCCCUUAAAGUGGCCGCCUCGCACUCCCGGGGCGUCUCAUUCUCAUUGCGAGAAGAGGCGCACCAAGAGCGUACACGCUGGGACCCGAAAGAUGGUGAACUAUGCCUGGUCACAAGUACCUUAAGGGAAAGU